UACGUAGGGGGCAAGCGUUGUCCGGAUUUAUUGGGCGUAAAGCGCGUGUAGGCGGCCAGUUAGGUCCGUUGUGAAAACUCGAGGCUCAACCUCGAGACGCCGAUGGAAACCAACUGGCUAGAGUCCGGAAGAGGAGAGUGGAAUUCCCGGUGUAGCGGUGAAAUGCGCAGAUAUCGGGAAGAACACCCGUGGCUAAGGCGGCUCUCUAGUACGGUACUGACGCUGAGACGCGAAAGCGUGGGGAGCGAACAGG
rnacentral:rRNA from 1 species